AUGUUUCUUCAGCAGCACAUACACUAAAACUGGAAUGAUAUAGAGAAGAUUAGCAUGGCUCCUGCACAAGGAUGACAUGCAAAUCUGUGAGGUGUUCCAUAUUGUU
rnacentral:snRNA from 1 species